CCCCCCCGCCGGCGUCCUGCCCACGCGGCUGCCGGCGGGGCGCCUUGGCCUGGCCGGGCCCGGGCAGCCCCGCGGCCCAGGAUGCCCCGCGGGCAGAAGGCAGCGGUGUGGGUUGUGGGUUCGCAGAGCUCCCUCCGGCCGACAGCCCCCCGGGCGGCUUGUGGCUGCUGGGCGCCCCUCCUCCGUGCGCCGGGAGGGCGCGGGCUCGUAACCUGAGCAGGGAGAUGGGCCCAGGGUUAAAAAUAAUGUCGCUGAGAAGAGUGGCCUGAUCCCUCAGCAUCCUUUGCCAGCAGCAUCCUCUGAAAAGCCUACUCUGCCAAAAUUGCCCAGCAGACCAGCCAGUGCCAUCCAUGCUCCUGUCACCAGCAGCGGGGGUGCUCAGCAGAGGCCAGACAGACCAAAUGCUUUCCCUGCAUUCCGGGGCAGCAGAGGCUGUUCCAAAGA